ensembl:lncRNA novel transcript
AGCACAGCAGCAGUUUCCAAGACAGUUACUGGGAGCUUCUGGCUGAGAUCUCUGGUUGCUUUCCUGAAAUUUUUGCUGAAUUACUUGCUGUUUAGAGUUAGCUUCCCUGACCUUUCCUCUCAUAGUUCCUCUAAUAUUUCUCUAAGCCUUUAAUUCCGAUAUUAACUUCCAAACCUGGAAAACUUAAAGUGGCUUUUAUUUACUGUUGGAUGUUAGAUUGACUAUAGUUUUGGUAACAGGAGUGAGGUUGAUUUGCCAACUCCUGGCACACAUGUGCUAUCAAAGCAUCUGGGGUAUUUAAAACUUUAUGCUUACAAGUCAAUCAGCAACCUUAGACAAGUAUGUCCAUAGCUACCCACCAGAUGUUAAGGGGCCAUCCAGACUUAAUGCUAGUAAAGAGGCCGGAUUUGUAACAGUGACUCUAGUUUGAAACAACGUGGAAUAGUUCAUGAUAACUCACUAAUAUCCUCCAAGCUCUCUCAAAUCUCUCCACUUCUUUACUCUCCAAACAGGCUAAGUUCAACAGAGACAUGGUCAGCUGGAGUCAGAAGAUCUAAGAUGGCCUCACUCACAUUUCUACCAGUUGCCAGGCUGUUGGUUGAAUUAACAUGGGCAAAUGGGCUACACGCCACUCAUCACCUGCAGGCUAUCCUGGGCUUCUUUACAAGGUGGCAGACAUGUUCCAAAAAUAGAAAGUGAGCAAUCCUGAAUUUGUUAACAUCCCACUCUCCUAAGCAAAUCACAGACCUGCCCAGAGUGAAGAGAAAGAAAAGUAGACUUUGCUUGAAAGGUAGAAUUCAAAGUUACAUUUCAAAGGAACAUUCAUAUAGAGUUCAGUAAAACUCCUGAUUUUUUCCCCAAUUAAUCACAGUUCUCAAAUUUUAAUUUACCAUAGUGCCUAACCUGCCAACCUAAGCUCCCAAUAUGGUAAUACUCACUGAAGGAAAAAGCAAGCUACUUUGUGGCAUAUUGAUUACAUUGGAUUCAUUCUAUUAAGAAAUGGGCUGUGAAUUUUUCCUUUCUGUUAUAGAUAACUAAUCUACACAUGGAUUUGCCUUUUUGCUGAUAAUGUUUCUGCUAAAAUCAUAUCUUUGAACUUAUACAGGGUCCUGUAAUUCUGACCAUGAACAUAGUUUGUAGAAAUUAGUGGCACCAGUGGGCUCAUGACCAUGAAAUUUGCUGGUUUUACUGUGUAUCCCAUUACCUUAAUAUAGCAAGAACCUGAAUUGC